ACACAUUAUAGCUCAGUCAGUAGAGCACGAGACUCUUAAUCUCAGGGUUGUGGGUUUGAGUCCCACAUUGGGCA